AGAGUUUGAUCCUGGCUCAGGAUGAACGCUGGCGGCGUGCUUAACACAUGCAAGUCGAACGAAGCACUUUAUUUGAUUUCCUUCGGGACUGAUUAUUUUGUGACUGAGUGGCGGACGGGUGAGUAACGCGUGGGUAACCUGCCUUGUACAGGGGGAUAACAGUUGGAAACGGCUGCUAAUACCGCAUAAGCGCACAGCAUCGCAUGAUGCAGUGUGAAAAACUCCGGUGGUAUAAGAUGGACCCGCGUUGGAUUAGCUAGUUGGUGAGGUAACGGCCCACCAAGGCGACGAUCCAUAGCCGACCUGAGAGGGUGACCGGCCACAUUGGGACUGAGACACGGCCCAAACUCCUACGGGAGGCAGCAGUGGGGAAUAUUGCACAAUGGGCGAAAGCCUGAUGCAGCGACGCCGCGUGAGCGAAGAAGUAUUUCGGUAUGUAAAGCUCUAUCAGCAGGGAAGAUAAUGACGGUACCUGACUAAGAAGCACCGGCUAAAUACGUGCCAGCAGCCGCGGUAAUACGUAUGGUGCAAGCGUUAUCCGGAUUUACUGGGUGUAAAGGGAGCGCAGGCGGUGCGGCAAGUCUGAUGUGAAAGCCCGGGGCUCAACCCCGGUACUGCAUUGGAAACUGUCGUACUAGAGUGUCGGAGGGGUAAGCGGAAUUCCUAGUGUAGCGGUGAAAUGCGUAGAUAUUAGGAGGAACACCAGUGGCGAAGGCGGCUUACUGGACGAUAACUGACGCUGAGGCUCGAAAGCGUGGGGAGCAAACAGGAUUAGAUACCCUGGUAGUCCACGCCGUAAAC
rnacentral:rRNA from 1 species